rnacentral:lncRNA from 1 species
GUUUCCUAGAUCAGUAUCCGAAGGCGCGGAGGAGCGGAGUCCGUGAGUCUGAAACCAGGCACCUAGGGCCCGGGGAUUUAGCUCAGCGGAACAGCGCCUACCUGGCAAAAAGGUCCUGAGUUCGAUCCCUGGUACUAAGGGAGAAAGAAAAAAGAAACUGGGAACCCUUGGCCACCCCGUGACCCCGCAGCCAUGCAGCAACCCCGACAUGGUGGGCUGCAGGGAGACAAAGCUGGAGUUCGUGGAAGGGAGAAGAGGCCGUGACGGUCCCGGAGCCACCCCAGAACCCCCAGUGCCGGAGCCGGUCUGGCCGGACCUGAGCCUGAACCCGAACCGUGGGACGGCAUCUUUUGUCAUUCUUUUUCGUUUCGUGUUUUUGUACUUGGACUGGAACCCAGUGUCUUCAUGCUGAGCUACAUCCGUAGCCCGUUUCUAUUUUUCAUUUUAAGACAGGGACUCCAUGCCUACUGUGUAGAGAAUGCCAGCCCUGGAAUCCUACAACCUGAUUCAGUCCUGCCACUCCUGAGAGGAAAAUCAGAACAAGUUAAAAUAUAGAAAAAUAAGUCAGGUGCGGUGGCACACGCCUAUAAUCCAAACACCGAGGCAGAAAGAUCCCAAGAUCCGGAUCCACCUGGACAAUUUAGCCCACUGUGUCUCGAAAUUUAAAAAAAGAAAGAAAAAGAAAGCAAAAAAGAGGGUAUGGGACUGGGAUUGUACCUCAGUGGUAGAGCUUCACCUAGCGUCCAUUCCUAGUACAGCACAAAAAUAAAUAAUUGAAAAUUUAGGCACAAAAAGGCCCAGGGACACACCAGCACAUACAGCUGUGUGCAGCCAGCAAGGUACCAGCCCUGUCUGGCCGCCUGCCAGUGACUCUGAGGCCACUGCCUUCAUGAAAGUGCUCACCUGGGACGGUGGACAGAGGCCCUGCCUGAGCCCAGCACACUUUGGGAUGUCAGGGAUGCCCCCUCCCCACCCAGAGCUCAGGUACUAAUUGGAUGAGACUGAAGGGGAGAGGGACCUGAGCAGGAAGAGCUAGGGUCCAGAGCCGGGACUUUGUCUUUGCCUAUGGCAAGUGGAAGUGUCCAAGCUUAAACAGAGAAUGGUUUGCUCUCUUCCACUCUCACCCCCAGCCUCAAGAAACAACUGGUUGGGUGGGAUGAUGCAGGCCUGUAAUCUCCACUGCCCCCAGAGGCUGAGAGAGAAGGUCUGCAAGUUCAAGGCCAGCCUGGGAAAUUUAGCAACGUUCAGAGACUGUGCUUCAAAAUAAAAAUAAUAAACAGGGCUAAUGAUGUAGCUCAGUGUGAAGGCCUUGGGCUAGAUCCCUAGUCCUGAAAAAAGGAAGGAAGGAACUCACUUUGGAUUAGAAGGAAUAAGGACAGAGGGAAAUUGGAUUAAAUGUCCACAGACUGAGGAAUAAACAGUAAGAGAGGCCCACGGGCCCCACCCUGAAGCCCCUGAAGCUGCAGGAAGCAGAGAACAACUGGCUCAACACAUCGCUUUCUUUGAGGAGUCUGAGGCCCAGGGAGAAAAGUGACUCUCAGGAGUCACACAGCAAAGCAGUGGCAAUACUGAGACCCGGACCAAGAUCUCUUGCCUGCCUGUCAAGUGAAGUCCCUAAUAUUCCAUGCACGUGGCAUGGGGGGGGGCGCUGGAUAUUAAACCCAGG